GCCGAAGUGGCGAAAUAGGGAGACGCAAUUGACUCAAAAUCAAUCACCUUAAUGGUGUGCCGGUUCGAGCCCGGCCUUCGGCA
rnacentral:tRNA from 1 species